rnacentral:rRNA from 1 species
GAUGAACGCUGGCGGCGUGCCUAAUACAUGCAAGUCGAGCGAACAGACGAGGAGCUUGCUCCUCUGACGUUAGCGGCGGACGGGUGAGUAACACGUGGAUAACCUACCUAUAAGACUGGGAUAACUUCGGGAAACCGGAGCUAAUACCGGAUAAUAUAUUGAACCGCAUGGUUCAAUAGUGAAAGACGGUUUUGCUGUCACUUAUAGAUGGAUCCGCGCUGCAUUAGCUAGUUGGUAAGGUAACGGCUUACCAAGGCAACGAUGCGUAGCCGACCUGAGAGGGUGAUCGGCCACACUGGAACUGAGACACGGUCCAGACUCCUACGGGAGGCAGCAGUAGGGAAUCUUCCGCAAUGGGCGAAAGCCUGACGGAGCAACGCCGCGUGAGUGAGAAAGGUCUUCGGAUCGUAAAACUCUGUUAUUAGGGAAGAACAAAUGUGUAAGUAACUAUGCACGUCUUGACGGUACCUAAUCAGAAAGCCACGGCUAACUACGUG